rnacentral:rRNA from 1 species
GGGUUGUGAGGUUAAGCGACUAAGCGUACACGGUGGAUGCCCUGGCAGUCAGAGGCGAUGAAGGGCGUGCUAAUCUGCGAUAAGCGCCGGUAAGGUGAUAUGAACCGUUAUAACCGGCGAUACCCGAAUGGGGAAACCCAGUGUGACUCGUCACACUAUCAUUAACUGAAUCCAUAGGUUAAUGAGGCGAACCGGGGGAACUGAAACAUCUAAGUACCCCGAGGAAAAGAAAUCAACCGAGAUUCCCCCAGUAGCGGCGAGCGAACGGGGAGGAGCCCAGAGCCUGAAUCAGCAUGUGUGUUAGUGGAAGCGUCUGGAAAGGCGCGCGAUACAGGGUGACAGCCCCGUACACAAAAGCGCAUGUGCUGUGAGCUCGAUGAGUAGGGCGGGACACGUGGUAUCCUGUCUGAAUAUGGGGGGACCAUCCUCCAAGGCUAAAUACUCCUGACUGACCGAUAGUGAACCAGUACCGUGAGGGAAAGGCGAAAAGAACCCCGGCGAGGGGAGUGAAAAAGAACCUGAAACCGUGUACGUACAAGCAGUGGGAGCCCCACCACUAAGCCAGUGGUGAACUCCACAUACGCAUCCUUUGCUGAGAAUACGGUUAA